rnacentral:rRNA from 1 species
CGCGUAGGCGGCGCCGGAAGUCAGGCGUGAAAGCCCCGGGCUCAACCUGGGAAUUGCGCUUGAUACUCUGGUGCUUGAGUUCGGGAGAGGAGAGUGGAAUUCCCAGUGUAGAGGUGAAAUUCGUAGAUAUUGGGAAGAACACCGGUGGCGAAGGCGGCUCUCUGGACCGAUACUGACGCUGAGGCGCGAAAGCGUGGGGAGCAAACAGGAUUAGAUACCCUGGUAGUCCACGCUGUAAACGAUGUGUGCUAGACGCUGGGGGGCUUAGCCCUUCGGUGUCGCCGCAACGCAUUAAGCACACCGCCUGGGGAGUACGGCCGCAAGGUUAA